UUAGAAUAUUUUCAAUUAUCAUUUUCAUUCUCUUGUAUGACACAGGAUUUGGUUGGGAUAUGACAAAAUACACAAACCUGUCUCAUUCCUAAGAUUUCUGAUGCAAAGGAUAUGACACAGGUCAAGAGGCACCUCGCUGAAUGUCUAGAGUUCCCUGUGCAAGCGAAGUUUGGUUUUUCUGGGAUGCUGUACUUUGUAUUUAUGCUAUGUAUAUAUGUAUAUAGAUUCUUCUCUGUAUAUAUUUUAUGUUUGUCCCUCCUAGAGGUUGACUUAGAGAAACAGGUAUUUAUUCUGUAUUUUGAGUCAUAUUUUGAGUUGUAUAUAUAUAUAAUUAAAUACUCUGGUCGGCCUUAGCUUUGCAGGUCGGGUCUGGAGCUUGAUAUCUGUAUUUUGAAACUAUGAUCUGUAUAUUAUAUUUUUAGCCU